UACGGAGGGUGCAAGCGUUAUCCGGAUUCACUGGGUUUAAAGGGUGCGUAGGAGGGCAGGUAAGUCAGUGGUGAAAUCCCCGAGCUUAACUCGGGAACUGCCGUUGAUACUAUCUGUCUUGAAUACCGUGGAGGUGAGCGGAAUAUGUCAUGUAGCGGUGAAAUGCUUAGAUAUGACAUAGAACACCAAUUGCGAAGGCAGCUCGCUACACGAAUAUUGACUCUGAGGCACGAAAGCGUGGGGAUCAAACAGG
rnacentral:rRNA from 1 species